rnacentral:lncRNA from 1 species
AUAGUUUCAGCCAAACAAGAGAAGAAGAAGGAAGAAGAUAAGGAUAAACAAUCUUUCUUUACCAGUGUAACUGAUGCUCUUGAUUUUGCUCAACCGAGAUCCGUAGAAGAUGCUCGCCUUAUACAAGAUGCUAGAGAAGCCACACAAUCUGGAGAAAAGAUGAGCAGAGAACAGGUAUAUAAUAAUUCAGAAUCUUCUUAAUCAUUUUUUCACAUAAGAUAGUGAAUUUUUUUCCUAUUUUAGUCUUUAUGAUUCAUAAUUUCUUAAUGUUUUUGUAAAUAAUGCAGUAUGGAGCUCUUAGAAGGAAAAUUGGUGGAACAUACAAGGACUUUUUCAAAUCUUAUGUUGAAGGUAUAGUUAUUGUUUUGUAGUAACAUUUUUACUAAUGAAUGUUCUUCUAAUUGAUGUUAUAUGGUCAAAUAUGAAAAGAAGCAUGUGAUUAGUUGAAUUAUUGUUUGGCUUAGUAAUAGAUUGAACUGAAACAUGUCCCCGUGAGCAUAUCUAAGUUGAUAGAGACACUGCAUGUUAUCAUUUGUAGCUAGGGAUCGGGGUUUGAACCCUGUUACUCCCACUUAUUCACCUUGUUGUUGUUGUUGUUGCAGUGGAUGGAGCAUAUGUUGAAGAGGGUUGGGUAGACAAAACAUGCAAGGUGUGUAAAAAGGAC